rnacentral:lncRNA from 1 species
GUCUUGACGCUGGGUUCCGGCCUAGGGUUCUGGCUUUCCUCCUGGGCUAGUGAACGCGGCGAAGUCCUCCUCUUUCUAAUCUCCAGAGCCGCAGUUCCAUCCUCUGGGUCAGCGGCUUACCCUGACUGGGCUGCGGUAUCUGCCUUCCUUCCCCCAACAAGGCGACAGGUAGUCGGGGCUGGGGCCGGAACUGACUGAGUGGGCCGCAACUGACUGAGUGGGCCGCGGCUCCCGCCUGAGGAGGCUAGGAAGGACUGAACAGCAGCCGACUUCCCAGGCUCUAAAAAUCGUGCCUCUGAGUUAGAGCUACCUCAAAAGCAAGACCAAGCAUGAGAAAUGGAGUCUUUUGGCCAGUAUUGGGGUGUUCGGAAUUCAAGCGUAUGAGAGAGUGGACGGUAGCGUUGAGAAUUUUCAUUUGAAGAUCUCGUCUUAACCACCCCAAGUGUAGUCAGAGGCGGCGUUUUCCCUGCGAGAGUGCCCUGGAACAAAGCAAGGAUAGCGUGGGUUAGACAUACCUGAAAUGAAAGCGUCUUACUUUAUCUAGGUACAUAUUUGCGUCAGUAAGGCGCAACGCCAUUUCUCUCUUGGAAUUCAGAAGUGAAAUAUGGUGACUGGGACGCCUGUACAUUGCUUUGACUUAAAAAUUGAAGUCCAUUAUUCUGACCGAAAGUUAAUCUGAUGAUUAAUUGGUUAAACAUACUAUCGUUGCUAAUUAGCAUAAUUAUUAUUUACAAUAAAGUGAGCUAAAUAGCUACA